rnacentral:rRNA from 1 species
ACACUCCUGCGGGAGGCAGCAGUGGGGAAUUUUGGACAAUGGGCGAAAGCCUGAUCCAGCAAUGCCGCGUGCAGGAUGAAGGCCUUCGGGUUGUAAACUGCUUUUGUACGGAACGAAAAAGCUCCUUCUAAUACAGGGGGCCCAUGACGGUACCGUAAGAAUAAGCACCGGCUAACUACGUGCCAGCAGCCGCGGUAAUACGUAGGGUGCGAGCGUUAAUCGGAAUUACUGGGCGUAAAGCGUGCGCAGGCGGUUAUGUAAGACAGAUGUGAAAUCCCCGGGCUCAACCUGGGAACUGCAUUUGUGACUGCAUGGCUAGAGUACGGUGGAGGGGGAUGGAAUUCCGCAUGUAGCAGUGAAAUGCGUAGAUAUGCGGAGGAACACCGAUGGCGAAGGCAAUCCCCUGGACCUGUACUGACGCUCAUGCACGAAAGCGUGGGGAGCAAACAGGAUUAGAUACCCGUGUAGUCC